rnacentral:tRNA from 1 species
GCUGCUGUGGCUCAGUGGGUAGAGCAUCCGCCUGCAGACUGAAGGGUCUCGGGUUCGAUUCCGGUCAAGAGCA